rnacentral:rRNA from 1 species
AUUGAACGCUGGCGGCAUGCCUUACACAUGCAAGUCGAACGGCAGCACGGGAGCAAUCCUGGUGGCGAGUGGCGAACGGGUGAGUAAUGUAUCGGAACGUGCCCAGUCGUGGGGGAUAACGUAGCGAAAGCUGUGCUAAUACCGCAUACGAUCUAUGGAUGAAAGCGGGGGAUCGCAAGACCGCGCGCGAUUGGAGCGGCCGAUAUCAGAUUAGCUGGUUGGUGAGGUAAAGGCUCACCAAGGCGACGAUCUGUAGCUGGUCUGAGAGGACGACCAGCCACACUGGAACUGAGACACGGUCCAGACUCCUACGGGAGGCAGAAGUGGGGAAUUUUGGACAAUGGGCGAAAGCCUGAUCCAGCAAUGCCGCGUGCAGGAUGAAGGCCUUCGGGUUGUAAACUGCUUUUGUACGGAACGAAACGGUGAGCUCUAAUACAGUUUGCUAAUGACGGUACCGUAAGAAUAAGCACCGGCUAACUACGUGCCAGCAGCCGCAGUAA